rnacentral:rRNA from 1 species
GUAGGUGGCAAGCGUUGUCCGGAAUUAUUGGGGCGUAUAGCGCGCGCAGGCGGUUCUUUAAGUCUGAUGUGAAAGCCCACGGGCUCAACCGUGGAGGGUCAUUGGAAACUGGAGAACUUGAGUACAGAAGAGGAAAGCGGAAUUCCACGUGUAGCGGUGAAAUGCGUAGAGAUGUGGAGGAACACCAGUGGCGAAGGCGGCUUUCUGGUCUGUAACUGACGCUGAGGCGCGAAAGCGUGGGGAGCAAACAGGAUUAGAUACCCUGGUAGUCCACGCCGUAAACGAUGAGUGCUAAGUGUUAGGGGGUUUCCGCCCCUUAGUGCUGCAGCUAACGCAUUAAGCACUCCGCCUGGGGAGUACGGCCGCAAGGCUG